rnacentral:rRNA from 1 species
UGGGGAAUUUUGGACAAUGGGCGAAAGCCUGAUCCAGCAAUGCCGCGUGCAGGAUGAAGGCCCUCGGGUUGUAAACUGCUUUUGUACGGAACGAAAAGCCUGGGGCUAAUACCCUCGGGUCAUGACGGUACCGUAAGAAUAAGCACCGGCUAACUACGUGCCAGCAGCCGCGGUAAUACGUAGGGUGCAAGCGUUAAUCGGAAUUACUGGGCGUAAAGCGUGCGCAGGCGGUUUUGUAAGACAGUGGUGAAAUCCCCGGGCUCAACCUGGGAACUGCCAUUGUGACUGCAAAGCUAGAGUGCGGCAGAGGGGGAUGGAAUUCCGCGUGUAGCAGUGAAAUGCGUAGAUAUGCGGAGGAACACCGAUGGCGAAGGCAAUCCCCUGGGCCUGCACUGACGCUCAUGCACGAAAGCGUGGGGAGCAAACA